rnacentral:rRNA from 1 species
UGGGGAAUAUUGGACAAUGGGCGAAAGCCUGAUCCAGCGACGCCGCGUGGGUGAAGAAGGCCUGCGGGUUGUAAAGCCCUUUCGGUGGGGAAGAAAAGCCUCGAGCUAAUACCUCGGGGUCUUGACGUAACCCAUAGAAGAAGCACCGGCUAACUCUGUGCCAGCAGCCGCGGUAAUACAGAGGGUGCGAGCGUUAAUCGGAAUUACUGGGCGUAAAGCGCGCGUAGGCGGCUUUGCAAGUCGGGUGUGAAAUCCCCAGGCUUAACCUGGGAACUGCAUUCGAGACUGCAUUGCUAGAGUAUGGGAGAGGGAAGUGGAAUUUCCGGUGUAGCGGUGAAAUGCGUAGAUAUCGGAAGGAACAUCAGUGGCGAAAGCGACUUCCUGGACCAAUACUGACGCUCAUGUGCGAAAGCGUGGGGAGCAAACAGG